UUGUAAUCGAACGUUAUUUUUAUAAAUUGCAAAUCAUCGACUUACAUAUGCACAAAAUAUAUUUCAUUAAGAUGCAUUCGAUUAAACGAUACGUUGCGAUAAAUAAUAAUUGUUCAUUAUUAGAAGAUGGAGUGAUAGGUAAGAGGAAACUCAUUGGAUAAUGCUCGUUAACCUAUCCUUUUUGAUAUUUCAUCUGAACUAUAGUUUUCUCAUUGCAAUGAAAUAUUUUAUAAAUGCAGGGACUUUCGUUCACACAAACAUAAUUAUGAAUGUGUGUGUAUGAAUCAGUCAACCUCUUUUCUCCAUGACUUAGAAUUUAGACAGGAUAAAAUGAGUAUUACGUAUUAAUUAACGCAAUAUUUGAUUAUUUAUUUGUAACAAUAUUUAUAUAUACACAUUUGAUUACAAAGAUGAUAAAAUAGUGUUUAGAAACUUGUAAAACCUUUUCUUGCGAGCGUCGUGCAAUCUCGUAGGAAACAGCAAAGAGAUUACCCACCGUGAGAAUGUAAAGGUACCAUUCGGUACCACUCUCUGCUCUGACGACGUCAGCAAACAAGCAAGCACUCGUCUCUUUUUAAAGCGAACCAAGAGACACGAAAUAAAAAAAAAAAAAAAAA